AGUGAUGUCAGGUACAGAGCGAGUGAGCAGUGAGCUACAGCUGGCGAGUGAUGUCAGGUACAGAGCGAGUGAGCUACAGCUGGCGAGUGAUGUCAGGUACAGAGUGAGUGAUGCUUGUCAAGUGUAGAAUGAAUGAGCGAUGAUCUGCAGCUGGUGAGUGAAAUCUGUAAGGUACAGAGCAAAUGUGUUUAGCUACAACUGGUUAGUGAUGUUUGUAGGUUACAGAGAGUGAGUGUUGAGCUACAGCUGACGUGUCUUUGGUCAGGUACAAAACAACUAAGCACUAAGUAAAAACUGAGUUUCAGGUGGCAAGUGAUGUCUGUAAGGUACAGAAAGACUGAGUGCUGAGCUACAGCUGGCGAGUUCUGUUUGUAAGGUAUAGAAUGUGUAAGAGCUGAGCUACAGCUGGCGAGUAACAUUUGUAAGGUACAGAGAGCAAGUGAGAGUCUUAAGGUACAGAGUGAGUGAACUAGAGCUGGCGAGUGAGUGACAUCUGUAAGGUACAAAGUGAGUGAGCAGUGAGCUAGAGCUGGCGAGUGAGUGACGUCUGUAAGGUACAAAGUGAGUGAGCAGUGAGCUAGAGCUGGCGAGUGAGUGACGUCUGUAAGGUACAGAGUGAGUGAGCAGUGAGCUAGAGCUGGUGAGUGAGUGACGUCUGUAAGGUACAGAGUGAGUGAGCAGUGAGCUAGAGCUGGCGAGUGAGUGACGUCUGUAAGGUACAAAGUGAGUGAGCAGUGAGCUAGAGCUGGCGAGUGAGUGACGUCUGUAAGGUACAAAGUGAGUGAGCAGUGAGCUAGAGCUGGCGAGUGAGUGACGUCUGUAAGGUACAGAGUGAGUGAGCAGUGAGCUAGAGCUGGCGAGUGAGUGACGUCUGUAAGGUACAGAGUGAGUGAGCAGUGAGCUAGAGCUGGCGAGUGAGUGACGUCUGUAAGGUACAGAGUGAGUGAGCAGUGAGCUAGAGCUGGCGAAUGAUGUCUGUAGGGUACAGAGUGAGUAAGCUAGAGCUUGUGAGUAACGUCUGUAAGGUACAAAGUGAGUGAGCUACAGCUAGUGAGUGAAGUUUGCUAGGUAAAGUGACUGAGCACUCACACACAAUGUCCAAAGAGGUGCCCAAAAGUAGUGGGAUGAAGCUCAGCAGAGUGGCUGGUUGCUUUGUUCUUCUUUAGAUUACAGUAAAUAACAAAGGCUCAGCGCAAGCCACAGGAAUCAAAGGGGUAAAAACACUUAUUUGGUGAGGCCAUUUGGAAAUGUAUCAAUAAAACAGACUGACCAUAA